AUGGCGAAUAGUGGGAAUAGACGCGUGGGGGACGGGAACAAUGUCAUGUUUGCAUUAAUGACCUGGACGCCGAUCAAAAUGUAGUGAACCGUAAGACGAAAGUUGUCAUUUUGUGUUUAGUGACGGUGUUCCGCGAGAUUGAAUGUAAAAAAUGGCUCAACGAUAUUCAAGGCUCAAAAAUUCAAAGCAAUCAUCAAUAGUAUAAACACACCAGCAUCUACAGAUCACCUAUUUGUUACAUCGCCACGAGCAUGCACAUUUCAAGCGGCCGACUAAACUUCGCAUAAGUUAGGGUAUACCACGUCGUCAAAA